rnacentral:rRNA from 1 species
GCCAAACAGCUAGCUUAACCAUUUUUCAACUUAACAACAUAAAUAAAAUAAAAUAAGCCAAACACUAAAAAUUAAA